rnacentral:rRNA from 1 species
GCAGUCGAGCGGUAGGCCUUUCGGGGUACACGAGCGGCGAACGGGUGAGUAACACGUGGGUGAUCUGCCCUGCACUUCGGGAUAAGCCUGGGAAACUGGGUCUAAUACCGGAUAUGACCUCAGGUUGCAUGACUUGGGGUGGAAAGAUUUAUCGGUGCAGGAUGGGCCCGCGGCCUAUCAGCUUGUUGGUGGGGUAAUGGCCUACCAAGGCGACGACGGGUAGCCGACCUGAGAGGGUGACCGGCCACACUGGGACUGAGACACGGCCCAGACUCCUACGGGAGGCAGCAGUGGGGAAUAUUGCACAAUGGGCGAAAGCCUGAUGCAGCGACGCCGCGUGAGGGAUGACGGCCUUCGGGUUGUAAACCUCUUUCAGCAGGGACGAAGCGCAAGUGACGGUACCUGCAGAAGAAGCACCGGCUAACUACGUGCCAGCAGCCGCGGUAAUACGUAGGGUGCAAGCGUUGUCCGGAAUUACUGGGCGUAAAGAGUUCGUAGGCGGUUUGUCGCGUCGUUUGUGAAAACCAGCAGCUCAACUGCUGGCUUGCAGGCGAUACGGGCAGACUUGAGUACUGCAGGGGAGACUGGAAUUCCUGGUGUAGCGGUGAAAUGCGCAGAUAUCAGGAGGAACACCGGUGGCGAAGCGGGUCUCUGGGCAGUAACUGACGCUGAGGAACGAAAGCGUGGGUAGCGAACAGGAUUAGAUACCCUGGUAGUCCACGCCGUAAACGGUGGGCGCUAGGUGUGGGUUCCUUCCACGGAAUCCGUGCCGUAGCUAACGCAUUAAGCGCCCCGCCUGGGGGAGUACGGCCGCAAGGCUAAAACUCAAAAGGAAUUGACGGGGGCCCGCACAAGC